rnacentral:rRNA from 1 species
UACCGAGUUUACAACUCCCAAACCCCUGUGAACAUACCACUUGUUGCCUCGGCGGAUCAGCCCGCUCCCGGUAAAACGGGACGGCCCGCCAGAGGACCCCUAAACUCUGUUUCUAUAUGUAACUUCUGAGUAAAACCAUAAAUAAAUCAAAACUUUCAACAACGGAUCUCUUGGUUCUGGCAUCGAUGAAGAACGCAGCAAAAUGCGAUAAGUAAUGUGAAUUGCAGAAUUCAGUGAAUCAUCGAAUCUUUGAACGCACAUUGCGCCCGCCAGUAUUCUGGCGGGCAUGCCUGUUCGAGCGUCAUUUCAACCCUCAAGCCCUCGGGUUUGGUGUUGGGGAUCGGCGAGCCCUUGCGGCAAGCCGGCCCCGAAAUCUAGUGGCGGUCUCGCUGCAGCCUCCAUUGCGUAGUAGUAAAACCCUCGCAACUGGAACGCGGCGCGGCCAAGCCGUUAAACCCCCAACUUCUGAAUGUUGACCUCGGAUCAGGUAGGAAUACCCGCUGAACUUAAGCAUA